rnacentral:rRNA from 1 species
AUGAACGCUGGCGGCGUGCCUAAUACAUGCCAGUCGAGCGAACGGACGAGAAGCUUGCUUCUCUGAUGUUAGCGGCGGACGGGUGAGUAACACGUGGAUAACCUACCUAUAAGACUGGGAUAACUUCGGGAAACCGGAGCUAAUACCGGAUAAUAUUUUGAACCGCAUGGUUCAAAAGUGAAAGACGGUCUUGCUGUCACUUAUAGAUGGAUCCGCGCUGCAUUAGCUAGUUGGUAAGGUAACGGCUUACCAAGGCAACGAUGCAUAGCCGACCUGAGAGGGCGAUCGGCCACACUGGAACUGAGACACGGUCCAGACUCCUACGGGAGGCAGCAGUAGGGAAUCUUCCGCAAUGGGCGAAAGACUGACGGAGCAACGCCGCGUGAGUGAUGAAGGUCUUCGGAUCGUAAAACUCUGUUAUUAGGGAAGAACAUAUGUGUAAGUAACUGUGCACAUCUUGACGGUACCUAAUCAGAAAGCCACGGCUAACUACGUG